CUACGUAGGGAGCGAGCGUUGUCCGGAAUUACUGGGCGUAAAGGGCGCGUAGGCGGCGCUUCAAGUCGUCUGUCAAAUGGGAGGGCUUAACCCUUUUUCGCAGACGAAACUGGAGAGCUUGAGAAGCAGAGAGGCAAACAGAAUUCCUGGUGUAGCGGUGAAAUGCGUAGAUAUCAGGAAGAAUACCAGUGGCGAAGGCGGUUUGCUGGCUGCAUACUGACGCUGAAGCGCGAAAGCCAGGGGAGCAAACGGGAUUAGAUACCCCGGUAGUCCUGGCAGUAAACGAUGUAUGCUGGGUGUGAGACUAGCGAUAGUUUCGUGCCGAAGUUAACGCGAUAAGCAUACCGCCUGGGGAGUACGGUCGCAAGAAUGAAACUCAAAGGAAUUGACGGGG
rnacentral:rRNA from 1 species